UGUUGUACUAUCUGAUAUUUCUGAAUUUUAGGGUAGAACAUUCCCUUUUUAUGCUUUUUUAUGCACUCUAUAUAAGGAAUAGACCAUCAGUCACUCACACACAUAUCCAUUAGCCUAUUCACUCUAAGAAUUAUCUGAAAGCACAUAGAAAAACUGUUGCAUUUCCUUUCUCUGGCAUUCUUAGCAGAAAAACAAAAAUAUAGUUCCUAGAAAUCCCUAAGAAGUUCUGUUUUCUCUUCAUUCAUUUCUGAUCCUUCUCGAAGAUGAUUCUGGAUUGAAGUUUGAAACUUGUUCUGGGUUUAUUCAUUGCUGCUGUACCUGUUUGGUUGUUGCUAUUUUUGAGCUUGCUGAAUCUAUUUCUCCAGUUUUUUGCCUUUAUUUGGCAUUUACUAUCUCUCAUAGAAGGAAGGGUAAAGAAUGGCCAAGGGAUAAAUCUGACCACCAGUUGGUCAGAUCCGUCUCUGUGGAGUGUCUGGUUCACAAAUUCAUGAGUGGCAGAGCUUGAACAUGUAAUUCUACUGUUUGUUCAUCGCCAGUGCUGAAAGCAAAAGUAUAAGAGUUAGUUUGAAGUCUUAUUCUGAUCAAGUUUGUAAAUAAUGAUUGUAAUUGAUAGAAUGGUUCAUUAACGUAUUUCAAAUUAGUCCAAACUGAUUUCUUAAUGUUCUAAUUAGUUUUAUUUAGCAUAAUGUUGGUUCAAACUGAUAAUGAUAUGAGUUAGUUAGACAUUCUAUUUUUUUUUCUUAAAA